GUGGCUGGUGCCCGGGCGCUGGGUCCUGGCCACAGUGUGCCAUGGGCGGGAUCAGCUGCCACCACUAUAAAUAGGGCUGGUGACGCCGCUCGGCAAAACGAAAGCUGACCCUUGGAGUGUGGAGGAGGCAGCGUGGUCCGGGGAAGGGAGAGCGGAGCCGAGGAGGAGGGCUUUGGCACUUCCAGGACAUGGACCUCAGUACUGGGGCAGGCCGGUGAAGGUGAUGGCAGGAGCUCAGGUGGGGCUCCCCGUUGGGCCAUGCCCCAUGUCUGACUCUGACUCAGACUCCGAGGACACGGCUGUGGGUGGCACAGGAGCUGGUGCCAGGGCACAGAACCCCUCUCAGGUCAUCCACAGUGGUCACUUCAUGGUGUCGUCCCCGCACAGCGACUCGCUGCCCCGGCGGCGCCAUCACCGCACCGAGCCCGAAGCAGCUGAUCCCCGGAGCAUCGACCCGACCCUCACCCGGCUCUUCGAGUGCAUGAGCCUGGAGUACAGUGGGAAGCUGGUGUCUCCAAAGUGGAAGAAUUUCAAGGGGCUGCGGCUGCUUUGCCGGGACAAAAUCCGUCUCAACAAUGCUAUCUGGAGAGCAUGGUACAUCCAGUAUGUGGAGCGGAGGAAGAAUCCUGUGUGUGGCUUCAUCACCCCGCUUGAGGGCUCGGAAGCUGAUGAGCACCGAAAACCAGAGGCUGUUGUGCUGGAGGGCAACUACUGGAAACGCCGCAUCGAGGUGGUGAUGAGGGAGUACCACAAGUGGAGGAUCUACUACAAGAAGCGGCUCCGAAAGACCACCAGGGAGGAGGAGGUCUCCAGCCCAAAGCAGGAUGAAGAUCUCUGGAGGCCAAUGGAGAAAUGGUGCAACCAGCUCUUCUGCAACGUGGUGCCCAUGCUGCUUGGGGAUGAGGAAGAGGAGCCAGGGGGUAGGCAGCACUUUGACUUGGACACCUUCCUCUCGGACAUCUCUGACACCCUCUUCACCAUGACACAGACGCCCAGUGCCCAUCAGGCACUCCCCGAGGAUGCCUAUGUUGGGAAUGCUGACAUGAUACAGCCGGACUUGGCGCCCCUGCAGCCCAGCCUGGAUGAUAUGGAGAUCUCAGAUAUCUUCACCAGCCACCGGCCACUGCCACCACAGAUGCAACCAGGCUAUCAGGAGCCACCCUGCUUCAUGCCCAUGGCUGAGCCCCUGUUCGGUGAUGGGGGGUGCCUGAUGGGUGCUCGGGGGCUGCCCGCAAGUCCCGAGGCCCCGCUCUCACCCGCCGCCCUCCUCCAGGUGAGCAGGACCACAGCCCACGGCCCGCGGCCACAGUGCCCCGGCACCCCUCUGACCAUCUUGUGUCUCCUGCAGCCCGGCGGUGCCUCCCAGCUUGGCCUCCACGGCGCCUUCCUGGGCCCCGAGCUCCCCCCAGCCCUGCUGCCCCCCAACACCCCCACCACAGUGCCCAGCGACCUCAGCCCCCAGCUCCGACACAAGCCCCUGCUGCAGUACGGGCCCCCCAGCCUGGAGCCACCAGGACCCCACUACCCCCCUCCCAGCCUGUCCCCCGGGGCAUCAGUGCUGAGCCCGGACCCCCUGUGCUCCCCCAUCUCAGCACCUCGCUGCAAGUUCCCCUACCCCAGCUCCCCCAGCCCCUCGCUCCUCGUCCAUCCCACAUCCCCCCUCCCAGCACCCUGCUUCGCCCCCCAUUCCCCGGAGCUGGGCUAUGCUGUAGGCAUGGUGCCCCCGGGGUACCCCGGCCCGGCUGCCCCCGAGCUCCUGCCUCCCCCCCUGCUGGGCGACCCCAGGUUUGCCCCCCCUAAGGGGCUGCCCCAGGGCAGGAGCGCGCGGCUGAAGGCAAAGCCCAAUGGCACCAAGGGGAAGAGGCUGCCGGGACCCCCCCCACCGACACCCCUGGCCAUGCCCAACCCCCGCCUGAGCCAGCUCCUGACUGCAGCCAAGCAGGAGCCAGUCCUGGAUGCCCCAAGCCCGAUAGGUGAAGGACUCGUGCCCACAUCCCCUGUUUCCCCGCAGAGCACUGUCCCAGACGUCCCUGCCACCUUCCUCUCCAGAAUGGCCCAGCUGAGCCCAGGGCUGGCUCCUGGCUCCAGCCCUUCCCAGGUGGUGCCGGUGCCGCUGGCAGGCACCCAGCCGGGCCCGCUGCUGGUGCCCAAGGCAGAGCGGCUGUCCCCCACGUCGGCUUGCGGCAUUGACUGGCCCAAGCCUGGCCAGGCUUCCCCGAGACCCACUGCAGGGCUGGGCACUGGCAUCCCCCUGCACCAUCCCGUGUCAUGUCGGGGCAGGCCUGAGCCCAGCAAGGUGGAGAGCCGCCGCAUCACACACAUCUCCGCUGAGCAGAAGAGGCGCUUCAACAUCAAGCUGGGCUUCAACACCCUGCACAGCCUGGUGAGCACGCUGAACGCCCAGCCCAGCAUCAAGGUGAGUGCCCAGGGCUGCAUGGACCGGCCAGCCCUGAGCAUGGAGGGACAAGGUGUGUCCCCUGGAGAUGCUGCAUCUCCAGCCUGCCCCAGUGCAGGGAGCUCCUGUCCUGUGCCCCAGCCCUUGGGGCAGGAGGCUGCAAGCCCCCAGCAGGCACAUGGAGACCCAUAUGGUGCAGCUAUGCCAGGGUGGUCUGGGCACUGGAGCAGGGCACCUCUUGCGCUGCCAGCCCUGCUGCACCGGGUGCCCCACAGCCCGCCAGUCCCAGCAGCUGCCUGCGUUGUCUCACGCUGUGGCCCCUCAGGUCAGCAAGGCCACCACCUUGCAGAAGACAGCCGAGUACAUCUGCAAGCUGCAGCAGGAGCGGGCAGCCCUGCAGGACGAGGCACAGCGGCUGCGGGAGCAGAUCGAGGAGCUCAAUGGCUCCAUCAAGUAAGUGGGGCAUGGCUGGGGCAGGCAGGAGGGAGCCACUGCCUGCAUCGGGGUACCCAGGCAGGGCAAGCGCUGGGGAGGCAGCAGGACACAGCAGGUCUCCCGAGCACCUCCCAGCACCUGUACUUGACUCUGCCCCACCUCAAACCCUGUUUGGAGGAGGGAUGAUGCUCAAGAGGCAGUGCCACGUGGGACCAGUACAUGAGGCAGUGCCCCACAGCUGCCCUGGGAGGGGGACACUGCCUGCUCACCCCUGCUGAGAGCUCAGGUCCUGCCGGAGCCUCUCCCCACGGGGCAGCCCUGUGGCUCCCAGUCUCCUAAACAUGGACCCACAGCAGUGCUGGUGCCCCACAGCCUCUGUCAGGAGCAGCUGCCAGCCACAGGGGUGCCCAUCACACGCCAGCGCUUCGACCAGAUGCGCAGCAUGUUUGACGAGUACGUCCGCUCCUCCACGCUGCAGAACUGGAAGUUCUGGAUCUUCAGUAUCAUCAUCCGGCC